rnacentral:rRNA from 1 species
AUUGAACGCUGGCGGCAGGCCUAACACAUGCAAGUCGAACGAGUGGCGGACGCGUGAGUAAUGUCUGGGAAACUGCCUGAUGAAGGGGGAUAACUACUGGAAACGGUAGCUAAUACCGCAUACCAUCGGAUGUGCCCAGAUGGGAUUAGCUAGUAGGUGGGGUAAAGGAUCACCUAGGCGACGAUCCCUAGCUGGUCUGAGAGGAUGACCAGCCACACUGGAACUGAGACACGGUCCAGACUCCGACGGGAGGCAGCAGUGGGGAAGAUUGCACAAUGGGCGCAAGCCUGAUGCAACCAUGCCGCGUGUAUGAAGAAGGCCUUCGGGUUGUAAAGUACUUUCAGCGAGGAGGCGUUACUCGCAGAAGAAGCACCGGCUAACUCCGUGCCAGCAGCCGCGGUAAUAC